AUACUUAUUUUGUUAAAGAAAGAAUAUAAAAAUCAUAUAUAUGUGUUCUAUUAAAGAAUAUUUCCUCUAGAUUUAAGUAUUUUGUAGCAUUUUAUACAUUUAUUUUGACUAUGUAUCAUACUAUGUAUCCACCACAAAUAAUGGUGCAGAUAAUGGGUGGCCAACAGGCAAAUGGACAGUGUCCACCAGUUCAAUCACACACAAUGCACAUUCAUGGUGCAAGUGCAUUCCAUCAGGCAGAAUAUGCAAAAUAUCGCUCAGAUGCUUGUUCUCAGAACAGACAUCAAAUGAUACAGACAGGAUCUUAUCCAUUGGAGCUAUUGCAAUUGAUGGGGGUUGAAAUACCAUCUCUACGGCAUGUAGAGUAUAUGCAAUCAAAUAACAGCACACAAACAGGACACUGGCAAAGACGUAUAAAUAUUUCAAACAAUACACCUAUUAUACCUUCUCCACAUCUUGCUUUUAGACCCAAUGAUAAUAAUUUAACAAGCAAAAAGUCAAACUGGUAUAAUAAAUUAAGUAAAAGAACUUCUUUUCGAGAUUCUUACGUAAAUAACGAAAAAUAUAGCAGCGAUAGUGGCUUUAGUUCACGAUCUCCAACACCAAAUAAACAUCAUAUUGAUAGUAGUCAAACAGAAAGCUCGGAUGAACGAGAUUCUGUAAUUUCUUCAGUUGAACAAAGUAUGAAAUUAUUGUGUUCUAGAAAGUCACACAAAAUACAUCCAAAUAAUGUUACAAACAAUAGAAUAAUGCAAUAUGGUAUAAUUUCAAAUAGUUCUACACAUCAAUAUUAUCAGAAUCAACGAUCUAUUAAUUGUUAUCCUACUACCAUGUCAACAUCUAGAACUCAAAUGCAAACUUAUCAGAAUAAAAGAAGGUAUCAUUCAGGAAGGAAUAGUCCACCUCCUCAAAGAUUACCUAGAAAUAAAAGAUAUAUGGGAUUAUUAUCGCCUAAUUAUCACAUGUUUCCCAGAUAUGGAAUUGCUCCAGAUCGAUUCCUAGCUAGGUCACAUUUAGUUGAGGUAACUCGUACACCAGAUGAUUUACUUAAUGGAUCAAUUUGGGAUAAACUUUCGAAAGAUAUUUGGUCGAAAUUUAUGUUAAAUCAACAGACUGAGACUGUUUAUAGGAACAAGAUGAUGCUUUGGAGAUAUCUUUAUGUUUACAUCAAGACAGCAUUUCCAAAAUAUGGGUUAUUCUUGGUUGGUUCUACAAUGAAUGGUUUUGGAUCAGAUAAUAGUGAUGUUGACAUGUGCCUUUUAGUAAGACAUACAGAAAUGGAUCAAAGGAAUGAAGCUAUUGGACAUUUAGAGCAAAUAUUGAAAUGCCUUAAAAGAUGUGAUUUUAUAGAACAAUUAGAACUUAUACAAGCAAAAGUACCAAUUCUAAAAUUCCAUGAUUCGAUACAAAAUUUAGAAGUUGAUUUAAAUUGUAAUAAUGCUGUUGGAAUUCGAAAUACUCAUCUUCUUUAUUGUUAUUCUCGAAUUGAUUGGAGAGUGAGACCAUUGGUACUUGUGGUUAAACUUUGGGCUCAAUCUCAGGAUAUUAAUGACGCCAAGAACAUGACAAUAUCCAGUUAUUCCUUAGUUCUUAUGGUCAUUCAUUUUUUGCAGUAUGGUGUCAAUCCACCGGUUUUACCUUGUUUACAUUCCCUUUAUGAAGGCAAAUUCACACCACAUACAGACAUCCAUUGCAUAGAUAUCCAAGAAGAACUGGAUAUUCCAGUUUCCGUACUUCGGCCUAAGAAUCGUCAGUCGUUAGGAGAAUUGUUCAUCGAAUUUUUUCGGUAUUAUGUCAUGUUCGAUAUGCGAUAUCAGUCCGUUUGGCUAAUAAAAUACCAAUAGAAGAAUGCCGAAGAGCACGAUCUUAUAAAAAUGAUCCUCAUCAGUGGAAAUAUUUAUGUAUUGAAGAACCUUUUGAUCUAACUAACACUGCUAGAUCAGUUUACGAUCCAGAUGUUUUUGCAAGGAUUAAAUACGUAUUUGAUUGUACAUACCAGAAAUUGAAAGAACAUCAUGACCUAGCCAGGAUAUUCGUCAAGGUGGAUUCUACUUCACCCUAUACUAUGACGUAAUCACAUUCAUACAGGCUGGUACAGAAAUAUUCACAUUAUCUAGUAUAAUUUUAUAUUCGAAAAACGGUUUAUUUUUGCAAUUGGCCUCUUCCAAUGUAAUUCGAGGCAAUUCGACUGAUAUUACUUACGGUAUGAGAUAAAAUAGUACAAUGAGGUAAUUUUCUACGCUUAUCUUGAGCUAAUAUGCUCGUAUCUUGUGAUAAUAGCCUGCACUUUCGUGCAAUGGCUCAUUCGUUGCGUUUAGAAACUCGAGUUUUUCUCUCGUCUCGUUUUGUUUCAGUUUUAUUUCCUUUUUAUAAACAUAUAAAACUACUCGCUGCAAGAAUUUAUAUUUAUAUGAAAAAAAAGAAAUAAUUAUAACAUAAAAGUGCAAUAGCAUUUGUGACUUGAAAAUGGUGCUAAAUCAAAUCUAACAUUCGAUGAUAACAAUUAUACAUGAAUGAAAUACUUUUAUAUAAAAAUAUUCCUAUCC
rnacentral:misc_RNA from 1 species